UACGAAGGGGGCUAGCGUUGCUCGGAAUCACUGGGCGUAAAGCGCACGUAGGCGGCUUUUAAGUCAGGGGUGAAAUCCUGGAGCUCAACUCCAGAACUGCCUUUGAUACUGAGAGCUUGAGUCCGGGAGAGGUGAGUGGAACUGCGAGUGUAGAGGUGAAAUUCGUAGAUAUUCGCAAGAACACCAGUGGCGAAGGCGGCUCACUGGCCGGUACUGACGCUGAGGUGCGAAAGCGUGGGGAGCAAACAGG
rnacentral:rRNA from 1 species